GAUGUUGAUCGGCCUUGGAAGGGCUCUCCAACGCCAUCUGACGCAACAGAUAAACAGAUUUUCUCGAGCUGCUCCUCUAUUCAGCUUGGUGAUGGCCGUCUUGCUAUCUUUUGGACGGACUGCUGGCUGCACGGUGAGGCCCCCCGUUAUGUCGCCCUGGAGAUUUACAAGAUCGCUCGAUUCAAGAUGCUCUCUAUCAGGAAGGCGCUCUCUGAUGGCCGAUGGAUUCAAGAGCUUCACAGGAUGAGCACUGAGGCCCAGCCGGUGGACUUUGUUAGGCUAUGGAACGCUGUGCAGAUGGUGGUGUUAACCGUAUCUAAGGAUCAGAUCAACUGGUCUAUCUCUGUAGAUGCAAAAUACUCAACAUCCUCGACAUGUGAUAUUCAGUUCGCAACAAGGAUUCAACAGUCAGAUUUGGCGAAGGUUUGGAAGUGCAGAAUGGAAGGGAAGGUCAAGUUCUAUCUAUGGCUACUCCUGCAAAACAGAAAUUGGACCGCGGAUCGGUUGCGCGCGAGAGGAUGGCCACACAAAGAUAAGUGCAAUUUUUGCGAUCAGGAUGACGGAACAGCUGAGCAUCUAACAUUGCAAUGCUGUUUCGCGAAGGAGACCUGUUUCCAAUUCCAUGGAACUCACCCUGAAAUGUGCGCUGCGGCCUCUGCAACCUCCUCUAUUGAGGAUUGGUGGAGGAGACCUUGCUAUGCUCCUAGGCGGCGGGACAAGGUCCACGAGGUGCUCACAUUGGCGGUGUACGUCGCCUGGCAUUUGUGGAAGGAGCAAAAUUGGCGGAUCUUUGAGCAAAAGGGAGCAAUUGCGGUCAUGCUUGCAACUAUGAUCAAUGAGGAUGUGGCUCUAUUCCAUGCCUCGAGAGAUACUCCACCUAUGCCUGGGGUGUAA
rnacentral:rRNA from 1 species